AUUGAACGCUGGCGGCAGGCCUAACGCAUGCAAGUCGAACGGUAGCACAGAGAGCUUGCUCUCGGGUGACGAGUGGCGGACGGGUGAGUAAUGUCUGGGAAACUGCCUGAUGGAGGGGGAUAACUACUGGAAACGGUAGCUAAUACCGCAUAACGUCGCAAGACCAAAGAGGGGGACCUUCGGGCCUCUUGCCAUCAGAUGUGCCCAGAUGGGAUUAGCUAGUAGGUGGGGUAACGGCUCACCUAGGCGACGAUCCCUAGCUGGUCUGAGAGGAUGACCAGCCACACUGGAACUGAGACACGGUCCAGACUCCUACGGGAGGCAGCAGUGGGGAAUAUUGCACAAUGGCGCAAGCCUGAUGCAGCCAUGCCGCGUGUAUGAAGAAGGCCUUCGGGUUGUAAAGUACUUUCAGCGGGGAGGAAGGCGAUAAGGUUAAUAACCUUGUCGAUUGACGCUACCCGCAGAAGAAGCACCGGCUAACUCCGUGCCUGCCGCCGCCGUAACAC
rnacentral:rRNA from 1 species